AGAACGAACGCUGGCGGCAGGCCUCAAACAUGCAAGUCUAGGGGGUGUAGCAAUACAUCACCGGCGGACGGGUGCGUAACACGUGGGAAUGUACCUACUGGUUCGGAACAACGCAGGGAAACUUGCGCUAAUACCGAAUAAGCCCGAAAGGGGAAAGAUUUAUCGCCAGUAGAUCAGCCCGCGUAGGAUUAGCUAGUUGGUGGGGUAAUGGCCCACCAAGGCUCCGAUCCUUAGCUGUUCUGAGAGGAAGAUCAGCCACACUGGGACUGAGACACGGCCCAGACUCCUACGGGAGGCAGCAGUUGGGAAUCUUGGACAAUGGGGGAAACCCUGAUCCAGCCAUGCCGCGUGAGUGAUGAAGGCCUUCGGGUUGUAAACUCUUUCGACGGGGACGAUAAUGACGGUACCCGUAGAAGAAGCUCCGGCUAACUUCGUGCCAGCAGCCGC
rnacentral:rRNA from 1 species